rnacentral:rRNA from 1 species
AGAGUUUGAUCCUGGCUCAGAUUGAACGCUGGCGGCAUGCCUAACACAUGCAAGUCGCACGCGAAAGGGGGCAACCCCGAGUAGAGUGGCGGACGGGUGCGUAAUACGCAGGAAUCUACCCACGAGUGGGGGACAACCCGGGGAAACCCGGGCUAAUACCGCAUGAGACCUACGGGUGAAAGCGGGGGAUCGCAAGACCUCGCGCUGGUGGAUGAGCCUGCGUCCGAUUAGCUAGUUGGUAGGGUAAAAGCCUACCAAGGCAACGAUCGGUAGCUGGUCUGAGAGGACGACCAGCCACACUGGGACUGAGACACGGCCCAGACUCCUACGGGAGGCAGCAGUGGGGAAUAUUGGACAAUGGGGGCAACCCUGAUCCAGCAAUGCCGCGUGUGUGAAGAAGGCCUUCGGGUUGUAAAGCACUUUCGAUGGGGACAAACGUGUCGGGCUUAAUACGUCCGGCCUUGAUGGUACCUAGAGAAGAAGCACCGGCUAACUCUGUGCCAGCAGCCGCGGUAAUACAGAGGGUGCAAGCGUUAAUCGGAAUUACUGGGCGUAAAGCGUGCGUAGGUGGUUGGAUAAGUCAGGUGUGAAAUCCCCGAGCUUAACUUGGGAAUUGCGCUUGAUACUGUCCGGCUAGAGUGUGGUAGAGGGUAGUGGAAUUCCGCAUGUAGCGGUGAAAUGCGUAGAUAUGCGGAGGAACAUCAGUGGCGAAGGCGGCUACCUGGACCAACACUGACACUGAGGCACGAAAGCGUGGGUAGCAAACAGGAUUAGAUACCCUGGUAGUCC